rnacentral:rRNA from 1 species
CGGAGGGGGCGAGCGUUGUUCGGAAUUACUGAGCGUAAAAAACGCGCAGGCAACUGCUCAAGUCAGGCGUGAAAGGCCUGGGCUCAACCCGGGAAUUGCGCUUGAGACUGGGCUGGCUUGAGUGCGGGAGAGGAUGGUGGAAUUCCCAGUAUAAAAAAUGAAAUUCAUAGAUAUUGAGAAGAACACCGAUGGCGAAGACGGCCAUCUGAGCCGCAACUAACGCUGAGGCGCGAAAGCGUGGGGAGCAAACAGGAUUAGAUACCCUGGUAGUCCACGCCGUAAACGAUGAGUACUAGACGUUAAAAGGCCUAGCCUUCCAGUAUCGCAGCUAACGCAUUAAGCACUCCGCCUGGGGAGUACGACCGCGAGGUUA